GGUUAAAUGUAAAUGAUAAAGAAAUGCUCCACACGUCUGUGCUAAUUUGAGAUCACUAGAGAUUUCAUAAAAUGUCAAUAGGAAGACGAUGUAUAACUUAAUCAAAAUACACAUAUUUCUCACAUUAAUGAUCUUGAGAGAUAUUUAAGGGUGCCUUUUUUUCACUAUAGAAUCACUUGCAACAUAUACUAGGAUAUCAUUGAUCAAGGAUAGAAGAGACUUUGUGGGAUGACAUGUUCCCUAUCUCUUUAUAACUGGAAUUACAAUUCUUGCUAAAU
rnacentral:lncRNA from 1 species